GAACUCAGAUGUGGUUCACUGCAUUCUCCCAGGUGAAUGGGCUCCUCUAAAAAGAUGGGAGAUGUCGGCCUCUCCAGUGCACAGCACACUCAGAAUUACAAAUCUAAGAACCAUUCUGGGGCUUUCUUAGGCUAUGAAGAAUCCUACCAUACGGAUCUUCCCUGUGACCUCUUCUGCUUGGUCUCUGGAUGUCCUCUCCUCUCGUGACAUGCUUGCAUCCUAACUGCGAGUUUUUAGCUGCUCAAACUGUGGAAUCAAAUGAGAUCACCACAAAGUGGCCCCACGGAUGAAAGCACUCUUUCCACAGAAACUCACUGGCACACCAGCUAAGGGCACUAUCCAAGAUUCUUCUGAAGAAAUGCAGUCUUCCAAACAGGAGGCCAGUGACGACCAAUGACAAUCCUGCUCAGUUAGAAUUCUCUGUAGGACGCAUGGUUGGUAGUGUUGUGGCUCUCCAUAAUAAACAAAAGACUGUGAGUGUUACCUCAGUGUGAGUGCACUUAAAAUUAAAACUUUGAAUCAUGCUCUCUAAAUAAAGUUGGAGCUUUAUGUGACAAUAUCAUCCUCAUUUUACAUUCUGGGCAGCUCUCCAAGCUCUGAGGUAAAAUGAGGACUCCUGGGCCUAGAUUGAAUGAACAUCCAAUUAGGAUCAAUCAAGAAAGACUUCAUGUCCCACAGCAGCUGAGUUCUCAGGUUAAACAAAGACUAUCUUUCAGUGGCCUCCUUAUGCAGUAAGAAUUUACUGUUCAGAUCUUUCUACAAGAUACGUCUUACUCUUUAGAUUUCUGGCCACUUAGAUUAGAGCAACCCAACCACUGAAGCCAUCUCUGUCACAUGAUGCUUGUGGGCAGAAGCCAGCACUUCUAUUCUCCUCCAAGUUGGACGCUUCCCUCAAAUCUCAGCCAGCUGAGAAAACAUCCUGAUCUGAAGUUUGUCCAGGCUGUCCUGGGUGAGGAUGGAGGCACACAGCCACUGUCCCUAGUUUGUGACAUCUCGCUCUCUGUGAGAUUGAAAGGUUUCAGUUCUUCAAAAUAAUAAAAUACCUUCAGUCACAAGGGACAGGUUUGUAGGGGAGGGGGAACAAAAACAUGCAACUGGUUAGAAGAAUUCCUUUUGGAAAAAAAAUGUCACACAUACACCAAGACAUCAGGACUUUCCGGCACCACCUUCCCCUCAGGGAUUCACAGAGAGGCAAUCAUUUUCAAAGGUGAAGAAGUGAGAUUUGCUCUCUGAGUUUGGUAUUUACCCAGUGUGGCCAGGACAGAAAGUCUUUUCUCCUCUUUGGCAUGAAUUGUUUUAAAUGUGGAAGAUGGAUGCCUACAAAAAAUACGAAGUUCUGGGAAAAAAAAAAAAAAAG
rnacentral:lncRNA from 1 species